AUUGAACGCUGGCGGCAGGCCUAACACAUGCAAGUCGAGCGGAUGAAGGGAGCUUGCUCCUGGAUUCAGCGGCGGACGGGUGAGUAAUGCCUAGGAAUCUGCCUGGUAGUGGGGGAUAACGUCCGGAAACGGGCGUUAAUACCGCAUACGUCCUGAGGGAGAAAGUGGAGGAUCUUCGGACCUCACGCUAUCAGAUGAGCCUAGGUCGGAUUAGCUAGUUGGUGGGGUAAAGGCCUACCAAGGCGACGAUCCGUAACUGGUCUGAGAGGAUGAUCAGUCACACUGGAACUGAGACACGGUCCAGACUCCUACGGGAGGCAGCAGUGGGGAAUAUUGGACAAUGGGCGAAAGCCUGAUCCAGCCAUGCCGCGUGUGUGAAGAAGGUCUUCGGAUUGUAAAGCACUUUAAGUUGGGAGGAAGGGCAGUAAGUUAAUACCUUGCUGUUUUGACGUUACCAACAGAAUAAGCACCGGCUAACUUCGUG
rnacentral:rRNA from 1 species